rnacentral:rRNA from 1 species
GAUUGCAGGCUGCAACUCGCCUGUAUGAAGUUGGAAUUGCUAGUAAUCGCGGAUCAGCAUGCCGCGGUGAAUACGUUCCCGGGCCUUGUACACACCGCCCGUCACACCAUGAGAGCCGGUAAUACCCGAAGUCAGUAUCCUAACCGCAAGGGAGGGAGCUGCCGAAGGUAGGAUUGGCGAUUGGGGUGAAGUCGUAACAAGGUAAC